rnacentral:rRNA from 1 species
AACAAACGCUGGCGGCGUGCAUAACACAUGUAAGUCUAACGGGAAUGUCGGCUUCAGCUGACUAGUACCGUGGCGAACGGGUGAGUAACACGUGGGUAAUCUAACCUCGAGUUUGGGAUAACCUUGCGAAAGCGGGGCUAAUACCGAAUAAGACCACGCUUGGUUCGCCAAGUGCGGUAAAAGGCGGCCUCUUCAUGAAAGCUGUCACUUGAGGAUGAGCCCGCGGCCUAUUAGCUAGUUGGUGGGGUAAUGGCCUACCAAGGCGACGAUGGGUAGCCGGCCUGAGAGGGUGUACGGCCACACUGGCACUGAGAUACGGGCCAGACUCCUACGGGAGGCAGGAGUGGGGAAUUUAGCGCAAUGGGGGGAACCCUGACGCAGCAACGCCGCGUGAGUGAUGAAGGCCUUCGGGUCGUAAAGCUCUUUUAGUGGGGAAGAAUCCCACCCGGGCUAAUACCUCGGGUGUCUGACGGUACCCACAGAAAAAGUUCCGGCUAACUACGUGCCAGCCGCCGCGGUAAUAC